rnacentral:tRNA from 1 species
UGCCCGAUGGUGUAAUGGUAGCACAAGCGACUUUGACUCGCUUAGUCAUGGUUCGAACCCAUGUCGGGCAGCCA